CUUGCACAUUCCACAAGUAGUUACUGAGUGUCUGCUAUGCUUAAGGUACUGGUCUAGAGAAAUGGAGGUACAACAGUGAACAAAAAGAAGCCCCUGCUGGAAUCAGUAAGAUUGUUUUCUACAGGUCAACUGAGAAAGUGUUUGAUGACAACUUGCAGCAUAGAGACAGAGAAGACACAUGGGCACAUGCUUUGGACUGCAAAAUCCAUAAGGUGUCCUUCCAAAUGUUACUUGGGGAUUCUAUAAAAGAAGCAACAAUGCUAAUUAUUUCAUACUAGUAUUGAGAGAAGUGCUAUCGUGAGUCAACUUGACUCACAAUACAAGACACUUGAAGACUAGAGUAUGCUCCUGGGUUCUUAAUAAACUGUGACCUGUCUGUA